UGCCAGCAGCCGCGGUAACACGGGGGGCGCAAGCGUUAUUCGGAAUUAUUGGGCGUAAAGAGCAUGUAGGCGGACUGUUAAGUCUGAUGUGAAAGCCCGGGGCUCAACCCCGGAAGUGCAUUGGAUACUGGCAGUCUUGAGUACGGGAGAGGAGAGAGGAAUUCCUGGUGUAGAGGUGAAAUUCGUAGAUAUCAGGAGGAACACCGAUGGCGAAGGCAUCUCUCUGGACCGAUACUGACGCUGAGGCGCGAAGGCGUGGGUAGCGAACGGGAUUAGAUA
rnacentral:rRNA from 1 species